rnacentral:rRNA from 1 species
CCAUGCAGUCGAGGGGUAACAGAGAAGCUUGCUUCUGCUGACGACCGGCGCACGGGUGCGUAACGCGUAUGCAACCUACCUCAUACUGGAGCAUAGCCCUUGGAAACGAGGAUUAAUACUCCAUAGUAUCAUUUUUUCGCAUGUUAGAAUGAUUAAAGAAUUUCGGUAUGAGAUGGGCAUGCGUCCCAUUAGCUAGUUGGUGAGGUAACGGCUCACCAAGGCGACGAUGGGUAGGGGGCCUGAGAGGGUGGUCCCCCACACUGGUACUGAGACACGGACCAGACUCCUACGGGAGGCAGCAGUGAGGAAUAUUGGUCAAUGGAGGCAACUCUGAACCAGCCAUGCCGCGUGAAGGAUGACGGCCCUAUGGGUUGUAAACUUCUUUUAUAUGGGAAGAAACUUAUCUACGUGUAGAUAACUGACGGUACCAUACGAAUAAGGAUCGGCUAACUCCGUGCCAGCAGCCGCGGUAAUACGGAGGAUCCAAGCGUUAUCCGGAAUCAUUGGGUUUAAAGGGUCCGUAGGUGGUUAAUUAAGUCAGAGGUGAAAGCCAGCAGCUCAACUGUUGAACUGCCUUUGAUACUGAUUAACUUGAGUUAUUGUGAAGUAGUUAGAAUAUGUAGUGUAGCGGUGAAAUGCAUAGAUAUUACAUAGAAUACCGAUUGCGAAGGCAGAUUACUAACAAUACACUGACACUGAGGGACGAAAGCGUGGGUAGCGAACAGGAUUAGAUACCCUGGUAGUCCACGCCGUAAACGAUGGUCACUAGCUGUUUGACCAACAUUGGUUGGUUGAGUGGCUAAGCGAAAGUGAUAAGUGACCCACCUGGGGA